CGAGGUGGACGGAACGGGUGAAGUAACACGGUGGGUCGACCGCCCUGCACUUCGGGAUAAGCCUGGGAAACUGGGUCUAAUACCGGAUAGGACCAUGGUGUGGAUACUGUGGUGGAAAGUUUUUUCGGUGUGGGAUGGGCCCGCGGCCUAUCAGCUUGUUGGUGGGGUAAUGGCCUACCAAGGCGGCGACGGGUAGCCGGCCUGAGAGGGUGGACGGCCACAUUGGGACUGAGACACGGCCCAGACUCCUACGGGAGGCAGCAGGC
rnacentral:rRNA from 1 species